AGAGUUUGAUCAUGGCUCAGAGCGAACGCUGGCGGCGUGCUUAACACAUGCAAGUCGAGUGCGCGUUUCCGUAGCAAUACGGAAAUGGCGCACGGCGCACGGGUGCGUAACACGUGGGUAACCUGCCCUUUGGUGGGGAAUAACCUCGCGAAAGCGAGGCUAAUUCCGCAUAAGAUCCGCAAGGAUGAAAGCCGUAAGGCGCCGAAGGAGGGGCCCGCGCACGAUUAGCUAGUUGGUGAGGUAAUGGCUCACCAAGGCUAUGAUCGUUAGCUGGUCUGAGAGGAUGGCCAGCCACACUGGAACUGAGACACGGUCCAGACUCCUACGGGAGGCAGCAGUGGGGAAUCUUGCACAAUGGGCGAAAGCCUGAUGCAGCGACGCCGCGUGGGGGAUGAAGCUUCUCGGAGUGUAAACCCCUUUCGACCGGGACGAAUACCUCGCAAGAGGGGUGACGGUACCGGUAUAAGAAGCCCCGGCUAACUACGUGCCAGCAGCCGCGGUAAGACGUAGGGGGCCAGCGUUGCUCGGAAUUACUGGGUGUAAAGGGUUCGUAGGCGGUGUGGCAAGUCGGGAGUGAAAUCCCUGGGCUCAACCCAGGGGCUGCUUCCGAAACUGCUGUGCUAGAGUGUGGGAGAGGCGCGUGGAAUUGCAGGUGUAGCGGUGAAAUGCAGAUAUCUGCAGGAACACCCGUGGCGAAAGCGGCGCGCUGGACCACUACUGACGCUGAGGAACGAAAGCUAGGGGAGCAAACAGGAUUAGAUACCCUAGUAGUCC
rnacentral:rRNA from 1 species